AAAAUGAUAUUUACCCCUUAUUUUGUUAGUGAAUAAAUGCAUAAUUGUAAUUAAUGGUAUUUUAGUAACUUAAAACAAUUCAUUGUGAUUACAAAAUAAAAUCAUAAAAUGAACACAUCAAUAAGAAUAUAACUCAUUUCGAUUAUCAUUCUUACAACUCAAAUAAAUAACUUAUUUCUGAUUUUUCAUUUUUCAUUCCUCCAAUUCUAAAGAAGUAUACGCACUACCAAAUUUUAGGACAUUCCAAUCUCGAUCGGAAUCUUCAAACAUCUCGAAUCCUAUCCCAAUUUAGUCCCGAAUCCCAAUGAAAAUUCAAAGAAUUAUGCCAACUCUAAUGCCAAGAAACAUGCUGCAUGGGUUUAAGGCAUUUUAACUCGUAUAAGAGAACAAUUAAUUUAUGAAUGCAGAAAAGCAUUUUUAACUCGAAUGAAAGAACAACAAAUUUAUGAAUGCAUUACAUGUAUCGUGUCAUUGCUAUUUCGAAAAUUAAAAUCUUCCUUUUAUUAUUAUAUUUGAAUUGAUUAUUAAUUUAGGGUCACCCUAUGUUACAUUGAGUGUAACAUACACACACUCACAGCAACAAUAACAAAUCCUAUUAUUAGCACUGUUGCUGUGAGUGUGUGUAUAUUACACUCAAUGUAACAUAGCAGUGGCCAUUAAUUUAUUGUCAAAGGCGUCGUAGGUAGAUUAACUCUAGGAGAGAAAUUUGUAUGGGCCAACUGUCACCGCCUUACGCACAAGCUUGCCGCAUCACAAAGAAAAGUCGUGUGACACCAACUAUCGUAGGACUAGCCACUCAGGUAAUGUCAUUUGACAAAUUAAAUGAAUCUCACGGUAGAAUCCACUAUCUUUUAUAUUAAUUUUGUAGGUCCUACCAUAUUACAUAGACUAAGAUAUUAUUUAUUUU
rnacentral:lncRNA from 1 species